AGUCUGUUGUCUCCAGGAGCAGACAUAAUUUAGUUAUGGGUCUUUCAAUGGUACUUGUCUUGGUUUUAACCAGGACACUCCUAACAAGUCAUGUUGAUCCAGGAAGGGUCUUAACUACACGUCCCAGGAGCCAAGUGUUCCUCGGUGCGUUCUCAUCAACGAUGACGACCAGGUCUCCGGGGGUGAAGUUUCUUUUGAUUGUAUUCCAGUUGGGCCGUUCUUGCAUCAAAGGAAGGUAUUCCUGGUCCAGCGCUUCCAAAACAGGUCAGCAAGGUAUUGCACCUGCCUCCUGGCUGAAGAGUUUGCAGCUGAUAGCCAGUAACGUUGAAGGAGUUUGGAGAGCAUGUGACCUGAGUGACCAACUUGAUGAUGUAUGUGGCUUAGUAUCAACUUGGAAAUACGAGAAUGUUUAAGUAGAAUCAUUGGAUGUUUGAAGUCAGUUGGCAUAGCCAUCUUUGUAGUUCUUCCUCCAACUCUCAGAAUCCCAGCAUCAAUGAUAGAGUCCAGCUUGUAUAGGGAGCUUCCUCUAUUGCACUGUUUGGCUUUUUCCAGCAAGGCAAAAUCCUCUUUGAAAUGCUGUCUCUGCUCGUGGCAAAUAAUGGCCUUUUCAGCAUUUUCCGUGUCCUCUACUGAAAGUCUUAGUGCAUUAGCUGUAGGCUUUUUGAGCAGAAGCAUCUGAUCCUUCAGUCGCUUUCCUUUAUCCUGCUUUACUCCAAGAUCAGUGGAGCAAUCUUUCCUCUUUUCUCUCCUCUGCAGGAGCUUUCGGUCAUCAGCUGACAUUUGUCUUUCCUCUUCAUACUCGUUUUCUGGAAAGUCAUUAAUAUAUUGUCUUUCAUUAAGCUUCUCAAGGUGAACAAUUGAGGUCCUGUUCACUACUGCCACAGGGGUUUCAUCAUCCGGAUCUGUGGAAGCAUUAGGUGGACCAUUAACGACCCAUCCUAACAGUGUUUUCACUGCAUAUGGGCCGUUUCCUUGGAUAAGGCCAUUUCUUGAGGUCCGCCUGGAAGGACUUCAGUUCUCCGUCCUCUAGCACCAAGCUGCCUCAUGAGCCCCUCUGUGCAAAAUGUGUCGGUACUACCAGGGUCCAGGAAUGCAUAGGUCAGUAUACUUUUAUUUCCAUGGCAGAGUUUCACCUUCACUGGCACUAUGGCAAGUAUGCUGUCUUUACCAGCCCCAAUUCC